GCCCAAGAGAUCGGGAUAACACCUGGAAACAGAUGCUAAUACCGGAUAACAACAGAUGAUGCCUAUCAACUGUUUAAAAGAUGGUUCUGCUAUCACUCUUGGAUGGACCUGCGGUGCAUUAGCUAGUUGGUAGGGUAACAGCCUACCAAGGCGAUGAUGCAUAGCCGAGUUGAGAGACUGAUCGGCCACAUUGGGACUGAGACACGGCCCAAACUCCUACGGGAGGCAGCAGCG
rnacentral:rRNA from 1 species